UCAGGAGUUAUUCCCCUUUCCAAUAUGGUGGCAUAGUGGUAUCACGGUUGCUAGAGAUCAAGUGCAGUAACAGAAAAAACAUGUCAAAGAACAUACACUACAAAUUGUCACGGACAUUCUUCGGUCUGUCGAUUGUGUUUUGUGUUACAACGGCAGGGUACGUCGUCUGGAACUACCAAUAUGCCGAGAGAGCGGCUAUGAGGGCCACAGUGUAUCGGGACUAUGAGAGACAGAAGCUAAAGGAACAUGCAAAACAGAUGGGGACAUUAGAACAGAUUUACAGAAAACAGGAAGAAGAUAUAUUGAAAGAGAAGAACUCUAACCAGUAACGACGGACCAGAACAUAGACUUACGUGUUCGAGGUAAAAAGGACCAUCAAGGAAGACUGUCGAGGAAUAGCAUCUACGUCAGUGGUCCGGAGAAUGUUAGAUCUGUGAUACACAUAAACUAUUUAUAUACCUCUCCAUCUUGAUUGAACAAGAUAAAAAAUAUCUAGAAAAUGUGAAACAUGCAGCGUUUAUUUUCAACUGUUUCUAUCAACUGCACGAGAGCGUGUAAACAGGUUUCACUGGAUAUAAAGCAGCUGACUUGGGGCGAUAAUGAUGGAAGGCUGUAUGUUAUGAUGAUUCAUGUGAAUUUUGGAUCUUGUUGCAUGGAUUAGAUAUAUGUAACCAGUAUAAUUAAUGCCUGAUUAUUUUGAAUUAAAGUUAUGUUACAUGGUACAGUUAUUUUUGCCUUCAAAUAAAUUUCUUAAAGUGUUGGUAAUAACAAGGGAAGCAAGUGUAUUGUAUAAUUGUUAAUCAGUUUAUCAAAUCUGUAAAACUUGCAACCUUAAUGAAAUAGUUCCUGUACAAGGACACCUGUUGUGGAGAUGAGUAGAUCUUCAGUUUCUUUUUUUACCAAAUUUUAAGUGUGAAUUGCUGUAUGCCAUGAUAAGAUAUCUUUUGAUCAGUUUUAGAAAGUUAUCUCAACAGUUGUAAAUUGCGUGUGAAAGCAUCAUGCCAUCUGUUUGUGUGUGAUAGUGUAAGUGAGUUGUAUGAUGGAGCAUGUUGUAAUGAAUAGUAAAUACUUGUGUGGAAGACAGAUGUUCACAGGAUGGUGUCAUCUUCAGGAUUCCAUCACACUUCAGAGUUCACAUGACCUUCAGGGCCUGUCAUUUAUAGGCCCAUGAAUGACAAUUUAGACAUUUAUCAGUGAUAAUCCGAUGAUCAGGAAAGACAUUAUUUCAUUAGUUUGAUAUCGGGUCUGAAGACAUCAUGAGGCCCGCACACAUCUAUACAUCAUGAGGCCCGCACACAUCCAUACAUCAUGAGGCCCGCACACAUCCAUACAUUACAAUGUCUACAGACAUCCAUACAUUACAAUGUCUACAGACAUCCAUACAUCAUGAGGCCCGCAGACAUCCAUACAUUACAAUGUCUACAGACAUCCAUACAUUACAAUGUCUACAGACAUCCAUACAUCUGGAGGCCAGCAGACAUCCAUACAUCUGGAGGCGCACAGACAUUCAUCCAUCAUGAGGCUCGAAGACAUCCAUACAUCUGGAGGCGCACAGACAUUCAUCCAUCAUGAGGCUCGAAGACAUCCAUACAUCUGGAGGCGCACAGAAUUCAUCCAUCAUGAGGCUGGAAGACAUCCAUACAUCUAGAGGUCUGCAGAAAUCCAUACAUUGCAAUGUCUACAGAUACCCAUACAUCAUGCAUUCUCUGACCAUAUUAGCUGUCAAGCUAUUGCUUUACCAUCCUCUGCGUAAUCCUGUGAUGUUUUCAGGAUCAUAUGUACAUUUCAAUGUGUGUGCACCUCAUUGUGGUACACUGACAAAAUGAAAUAAAGGAAAGUAACCCCGAUAGAUGAGAAUCCUUAUCAUGAAGCCUACACACAUCCAUACAUUAUGAGGUCUGCAUAAUUGACAAAAUCCAAGAUGGUCGCCUCUCUGCCAUGUUGUUUUCCGUUCGGUCACAAUAUGCACAACAAGGGACCAAGGGGAACUUACAUAUUAAAUUUGAGAAAGAUCCCUUAAAUAUUUUCUGAGAAAUAGUGAUAACAAGAUUUCCUUUCGCUUUAAGUUCUGCCAUUUCUUUACCAGUAAUCCUUCAAGUUUGUUAAGUUUACAUUGGUCAAUUGCUGGUCUUUGACCUCCUGAUGAACAUUUUGAUGUUCUUUUUCCCGUAACUGAAUUAAUUAUUAGUUUGUUGGUGCUGUAUAGUUUCCGUGCAAUCAAUCCUAUGGCAUUCGAGGGCUAGCUGACUGAUUAACAAUCACAUCCAGUUCUGCAUCUGCUUCUGCAUCUGCAACAGACGAGUUUUUGAGACCUUUUACAACUUUCUUCAUGGCCCAAACUUGCGCCCGGAGGCUUUCUAUUUCUUCCUCAAGUCUAUACAUCUGCACACAUCCAUACAUUAUGAGGUCUGCACACAUCCAUACAUUAUGAGGUCUACACACAUCAAUACAUUAUGAGGUCUGCACACAUCCGUACAUUAUGAGGUCUGCACACAUCCAUACAUUAUGAGGUCUGCACACAUCCAUACAUUAUGAGGUCUGCACACAUCCAUACAUUAUGAGGUCUACACACAUCCAUACACUAUGAGGUCUACACACAUCCAUACAUUAUGAGGUCUACACACAUCCAUACAUUAUGAGGUCUGCACACAUCCAUACAUUAUGAGGUCUGCACACAUCCAUACAUUAUGAGGUCUACACACAUCCAUAAAAGUAUUCUGAGGUCUAGACAUCCAUACAUUAUGAAGUUUGGAGACGUAUUCAUUAGAAGUUCUAUAGACAAUGACAUACAUAUAUUUGCCUCUCUAGGCCUAUAGAUACAAUUGAUUCCUUCAUUGUCAACAUAUUUGACAUCUUUGUUGUCUACAGAUAUGUGUACAUCUUGUUUGUCUUCUCCACAUGUCAAAUUAAUUAUGAAAUAAACAUCUACAGGUUCUAUAUUGUUUCCAGACUGCCAUCCAUUUUGAUGCCUCUGUUAUCUACAGACAUCCUUCUCAAGGUGUGUUUUUCUUCAUACAUAAAAAACAUCACAGCAAAUGCACAAAAACCUGGAUAAUGAUAGAAUCUGAAAGACACAUUGUUUUUUUAGGGAGAGGCCGACAGUUGUCUGAGAUAUAAAUGCAUGUGUCUGUUUGAUAGGACACAGUUUGUGAGUAGGAGCCUGCUAUGUGUGUUAUGGUUUUUGACAGCCUGUAGGUAAUAUCAGUCCCAUUUUAAUACCUCACAUACAUAACACUGAUAUGCAUGAUCGGAGAUAAUUUGAAGAGUAAUGUACCCUAUGUUGUGUAGAACAUGCUGUGUUCAUUAUGUAAUGCUGAGUGGAAUGAAAAUAAAAAGUAAAUAUCA